UUACGGUCAUAUCAUGUCGAAACACUGGUUUACGUACGAUCACUGAAGUUAAGCAACGUCGAACCUGGUCAGUACAUAGAUAGAUAACCGCUUGGGAAUGCCAGGUGCUU